rnacentral:misc_RNA from 1 species
GAUGAAGAACGCAGCGAAAUGCGAUAAGUAAUGUGAAUUACAGAAUUCAGUGAAUCAUCGAAUCUUUGAACGCACAUUGCGCCCUCUGGUAUUCCGGGGGGCAUGCCUGUUCGAGCGUCAUUAUAACCACUCAAGCUCUCGCUUGGUAUUGGGGUUCGCGGUUCCGCGGCCCCUAAAAUCAGUGGCGGUGCCUGUCGGCUCUACGCGUAGUAAUACUCCUCGCGAUUGAGUCCGGUAGGUCUACUUGCCAGCAACCCCCAAUUUUUACAGGUUGACCUCGGAUCAGGUAGGGAUACCCGCUGAACUUAAGCAUAUCAAUAAGCGGAGGA